rnacentral:rRNA from 1 species
UACGGGGGGUGCGAGCGUUGUCCGGAAUCAUUGGGCGUAAAGAGCGUGUAGGCGGCUUGGUAAGUCCGCUGUGAAAGUCCAGGGCCCAACCCUGGAAAGCCGGUGAAAACUGUCAAGCUUGAGUCCGGAAGAGGCGAGUGGAAUUCCUGGUGUAGCGGUGAAAUGCGCAGAUAUCAGGAGGAACACCAAUGGCGAAGGCAGCUCGCUGGGACGGUACUGACGCUGAGACGCGAAAGCGUGGGGAGCAAACAGG